rnacentral:rRNA from 1 species
UGAGGAAUAUUGGUCAAUGGGCGAGAGCCUGAACCAGCCAAGUAGCGUGCAGGAUGACGGCCCUAUGGGUUGUAAACUGCUUUUAUAUGGGAAUAAAGUGAGGGACGUGUCCCUUAUUGCAUGAACCAUACGAAUAAGGACCGGCUAAUUCCGUGCAAGCAGCCGCGGUAAUACGGAAGGUCCAGGCGUUAUCCGGAUUUAUUGGGUUUAAAGGGAGCGUAGGCUGUUUGUUAAGCGUGUUGUGAAAUGUAAGAGCUCAACUUUUAGAUUGCAGCUCGAACUGGCAGACUUGAGUGCGCACAACGUAGGCGGAAUUCAUGGUGUAGCGGUGAAAUGCUUAGAUAUCAGGACGAACUCCGAUUGCGAAGGCAGCUUACGGGAGCGCAACUGACGCUAGAGCUCGAAGGUGCGGGUAUCGAACAGG